AGAGUUUGAUCAUGGCUCAGAUUGAACGCUGGCGGCAGGCUUAACACAUGCAAGUCGAACGGUAGCAGGGAGAAAGCUUGCUUUCUUUGCUGACGAGUGGCGGACGGGUGAGUAAUGCUUGGGAAUCUGGCUUAUGGAGGGGGAUAACGACGGGAAACUGUCGCUAAUACCGCGUAGUGUCGAGAGACGAAAGACCGGGACCGUAAGGCCGGUUGCCAUAAGAUGAGCCCAAGUGGGAUUAGGUAGUUGGUGGGGUAAAGGCCUACCAAGCCUGCGAUCUCUAGCUGGUCUGAGAGGAUGGCCAGCCACACUGGAACUGAGACACGGUCCAGACUCCUACGGGAGGCAGCAGUGGGGAAUAUUGCGCAAUGGGGGCAACCCUGACGCAGCCAUGCCGCGUGAAUGAAGAAGGCCUUCGGGUUGUAAAGUUCUUUCGGUGAUGAGGAAGGCGGUUAGUUUAAUAGGCUAAUCGAUUGACGUUAAUCACAGAAGAAGCACCGGCUAACUCCGUGCCAGCAGCCGCGGUAAUACGGAGGGUGCGAGCGUUAAUCGGAAUAACUGGGCGUAAAGGGCACGCAGGCGGUUGCUUAAGUGAGGUGUGAAAUCCCCGGGCUUAACCUGGGAAUUGCAUUUCAGACUGGGCAGCUAGAGUAUUUUAGGGAGGGGUAGAAUUCCACGUGUAGCGGUGAAAUGCGUAGAGAUGUGGAGGAAUACCGAAGGCGAAGGCAGCCCCUUGGGGAAAUACUGACGCUCAUGUGCGAAAGCGUGGGGAGCAAACAGGAUUAGAUACCCUGGUAGUCCACGCUGUAAACGCUGUCGAUUUGGGGAUUGGGCUUUAAGCUUGGUGCCCGUAGCUAACGUGAUAAA
rnacentral:rRNA from 1 species